rnacentral:miRNA from 1 species
GUUGGCCAAAAAGUUCAUUCGAGUGUUUCCGUAAUAUCUUAUGGAAAAACCUGAAUGAACUUUUUGGCCAGC